CGAGGAUUUCAAAUCCACCGAGUUUAGUCGAGAUGGCUGGCCGGCGUUACGCUGGUGUUCCACCGAUUGGAUUGUUUUGCAGGAUCAUGUCUUUUUUUUUCUCUAUUUAUUUUUUUUCUCAUCAAGUAUGCCCCAUCGGAUUUCUUUGCAAUAUCCUGACUCGGACUUUCUCUCCGCGUAUGCCAGCGAGCGCUCACUCAUAGACGUCGUCAUCCGCGUACUUGGCACUUAUCACAAAGCAGUGAACGUGGCAGUCCAUUUAAGUGAAAGGAGCUAAUGACCAACAGGUGCGACGCUGGAGGAGAAGCUCUCCAAUGCCAUCGACAGGUAAUCGAACUCCCAAGUCCAUUAUUUAUUCUUCCAUCCUCCCAUUCAGCCCCGUUCCUCGCAUGAAUGUCUUCAGUCAUGCUCCGUUUCAAAUCACAACCAUCGACAUUGUGCAUCCACUCCGCUAGCUGUGCCAAUAGUGACAUAAUCUUUUACAAGGACACUCUCAGUUGGAGUGAGUAGACAAAAGUAUGGUCACGCAUAUGCCUUCAUAUUCAUUCAGUCAUUUUGACGUCCUCUCCUUUGAUCACCUCCGACCCCACUCCCCAAAAAAUAAAUA